rnacentral:rRNA from 1 species
AGAGUUUGAGUCCUGGCUCAGGAUGAACGCUGGCGGCGCGCCUAACACAUGCAAGUCGAACGAAGCUCUUUAGCGGAGUCCCUUCGGGGUGAAGCUUUUGAGACUUAGUGGCGGACGGGUGAGUAACGCGUGGGGAACCUGCCCCGUACAGGGGGAUAACAGUUAGAAAUGACUGCUAAUACCGCAUAAGCGCACACUGUCGCAUGGCAGAGUGUGAAAAGCCGAGACGGUACGGGAGGGCCCCGCGUCUGAUUAGCUGGUUGGUGGGGUAACGGCCUACCAAGGCGACGAUCAGUAGCCGAACUGAGAGGUUGAUCGGCCACAUUGGGACUGAGACACGGCCCAGACUCCUACGGGAGGCAGCAGUGGGGAUUUUGCACAAUGGGGGAACCCUGAUGCAGCGACGCCGCGUGAGUGAAGAAGUAUUUCGAUACGUAAAGCUCUAUCAGCAGGGAAGAAAAUGACGGUACCUGACUAAGAAGCCCCGGCUAACUACGUGCC